rnacentral:rRNA from 1 species
CUUUCCAGAGAUGGAUUGGUGCCUUCGGGAACUGUGAGACAGGUGCUGCAUGGCUGUCGUCAGCUCGUGUUGUGAAAUGUUGGGUUAAGUCCCGCAACGAGCGCAACCCUUAUCCUUUGUUGCCAGCGGUCCGGCCGGGAACUCAAAGGAGACUGCCAGUGAUAAACUGGAGGAAGGUGGGGAUGACGUCAAGUCAUCAUGGCCCUUACGACCAGGGCUACACACGUGCUACAAUGGCGCAUACAAAGAGAAGCGACCUCGCGAGAGCAAGCGGACCUCAUAAAGUGCGUCGUAGUCCGGAUUGGAGUCUGCAACUCGACUCCAUGAAGUCGGAAUCGCUAGUAAUCGUGGAUCAGAAUGCCACGGUGAAUACGUUCCCGGGCCUUGUACACACCGCCCGUCACACCAUGGGAGUGGGUUGCAAAAGAAGUAGGUAGCUUAACCUUCGGGAGGGCGCUUACCACUUUGUGAUUCAUGACUGGGGUGAAGUCGUAACAAGGUAACCGUAGGGGAACCUGC